rnacentral:tRNA from 1 species
GCCGAGGUGGAGGAACUGGAAGACUCUCAUCCUUGAGGUGGAUGUGUCAGCAAUGACGUGCGGGUUCGACUCCCGCCCUCGGCA